AUACGGGGGGGGCAAGCGUUGUUCGGAAUUAUCGGGCGUAAAGGGCGCGUAGGCGGAAUAGUAAGUCAGAAGUGAAAAUCAUGGGCUUAACUCAUGACCUGCUUUUGAUACUGCUAUUCUCGAGUGCGAGAGAGGAAAGCGGAAUUCCCGGUGUAGCGGUGAAAUGCGUAGAUAUCGGGAAGAACACCGGUAGCGAAGGCGGCUUUCUGGCUCGCAACUGACGCUGAGGCGCGAAAGCGUGGGGAGCAAACAGGAUUAGAAACCCCAGUAGUCC
rnacentral:rRNA from 1 species